ACACGUAUUGCGAUUGUGCGAGU
rnacentral:siRNA from 1 species